rnacentral:rRNA from 1 species
UACGUAGGGUGCGAGCGUUAAUCGGAAUUACUGGGCGUAAAGCGUGCGCAGGCGGUUCUCCAAGUCCGGUGUGAAAGCCCCGGGCUCAACCUGGGAAUGGCAGUGGAAACUAGGGGACUGGAAUCUGGCAGAGGGGGGUGGAAUGCCGCGUGUAGCAGUGAAAUGCGUAGAGAUGCGGCGGAACACCGAUGGCGAAGGCAGCCCCCUGGGCUGAGAUUGACGCUCAGGCACGAAAGCGUGGGGAGCAAACAGG